rnacentral:rRNA from 1 species
GACAGAGGGUGCAAACGUUGUUCGGAAUCACUGGGCAUAAAGCGCACGUAGGCGGUCCGCUAAGUCAGGUGUGAAAGCCCCCGGCUCAACCGGGGAACUGCACUUGAUACUGGCGGGCUUGAGGAUGAGAUGGGCGGGCGGAACUCCAGGUGGAGCGGUGAAAUGCGUAGAUAUCUGGAGGAACACCGGUGGCGAAAGCGGCCCGCUGGACCAUCACUGACGCUGAGGUGCGAAAGCUAGGGUAGCAAACGGG